GCCGAGUUGGGUUACUCCAGCUUGUGACCCAAGUGGGGGCACCAGGUUGAUGGAACAUGGUUCUGGCUUUCGUUAGGCUGGGCUGUUAGAUGCAAUAUUCUGGCCUGCCCACUCCAAGUUGAGAGUUGGACCGUGGGGCUUGGGCGAAGGCCCUUGUCUCUCGGCCCCUAAACUGGAGGGCAAAGCGUGAGGCUGGUUUCACAGAGCAGCGAAUACCUCUGGCUCCUGACAGUGGAGGGAUAACAGGCUGAUGCACUCUCAGCCCAUUGUGCCUAGUGGGCCUGGCCUCUUGAACCAUCAUCUUU
rnacentral:SRP_RNA from 1 species